GCUGAUGUGUAUGAUGACUAAACUUUUUUCCCCAUCAGAUCGACACUGUUGAUUUUUGAUGCUAGAAGCCAAAUAUGUCUGACACAUCAGA